CUUAAGCCAUGCAUGUGUAAGUACAAACUGAAUCAAAGUGAAACCGCGAAUGGCUCAUUAAAUCAGCUAUGAUUCAUUGGAUCUACACCACAUUUGGUUACUUGGAUAACUGUGGUAAUUCUAGAGCUAAUACAUGCACAUAUAGUCCCUUCAAACCACAAGUUUGUGUAGCAUUACCGAACUGAGUUGGUAAUAAGAAGGGCGCUUUUAUUAGUAUCAAAACCGGUAUUCUCGGACUUCGGUCCGAAAAACCCAAGUAUGAUGACUCUGGAUAACUUUGUAGCUGAGCGCACAGUCUUCUGCACUGGCGCCGCUUCUUUCAAGUGUCUGCCUUAUCAGCUUUAUUGUAGGUUAUGUGCCUACAAUGGCUAUAACGGGUAACGGGGAAUCAGGGUUCGAUUCCGGAGAGGGAGCCUGAGAAACGGCUACCACAUCUAAGGAAGGCAGCAGGCACGCAAAUUACCCACUCCCGGCUUGGGGAGGUAGUGACGAAAAAUAACGAUGCGAGUCUCAUCCGAGGCCUCGCAAUCGGAAUGAGUACACUUUAAACACUUUAACAAGUAUCAAUUGGAGGGCAAGUCUGGUGCCAGCAGCCGCGGUAAUUCCAGCUCCAAUGGCAUAUAUUAAAGCUGCUGUGGUUAAAAAGCUCGUAGUUGACCCUACAGCGCUGGGCAGAUGGUGAGCUAUAAAUUCCUUAUUUCAGGUUGCUCAUAUGUCUUGCCCAGUGACUGCUUCAGCUGUUAUAUGCUGUGGUCAAUUUUGCUGGCUUACCAGGGGUGCUCUUAAGUGAGUGUCCCGAAGUGGCUGGUGUGUUUACUUUGAAAAAAU
rnacentral:rRNA from 1 species